rnacentral:rRNA from 1 species
GUUAGGAAUAUUGGACAAUGGGCGAAAGCCUGAUCCAGCCAUGCCGCGUGAACGAUGAAGGCCUUCGGGUUGUAAAGUUCUUUAGCCGAUGAUUAUAAUGACUGUAGUCGGAAAAUAAGCCCCGGCUAACUUCGUGCCAGCAGCCGCGGUAAUACGAAGGGGGCGAGCGUUAUUCGGAAUCACUGGGCGUAAAGCGUGCGUAGGCGGUUUUGUAAGUUAGGAGUGAAAGCCCAGGGCUCAACCUUGGAAUUGCUCUUAAAACUGCAAGGCUCGGGUCUCGGAGAGGAUAGGGGAAUUUGCAGUGUAGCGGUGAAAGGCGUAGAUAUUGGCAGGAACACCGGUGGCGUAAUCGGCUAUCUGGACGAGUAUGGACGCUGAGGCUCGAACGCGUGGGGAUCAAACAGGAUGAGAGACCGGAGUAGUCC